rnacentral:rRNA from 1 species
GACGAACGCUGGCGGCGUGCCUAAUACAUGCAAGUCGAACGCAGUGGGGACGGGUGAGUAACACGUGGGUAACCUCCCAUCAGGGGGGAUAACACUUGGAAACAGGUUCUAAACCGAUCUUCAUGGAUGGACCCGGGGUUCAUUAGCUAGUUGGUGAGGUAACGGCUCACCAAGGCCACGAUGCAUAGCGGACCUAAGAGGGUGACAGGUAACACUGGUAAGGAGAAACGGCCCAGAACCCUACGUGAGGCAGCAGUAGGUAACCUUCGGCAAUGAACGAAAGUCUGACCGAGAAACGCCGCGUGAGUGAGGAAGGUUUUCGGAUCGUAAAACUCUGUUGUUAGAGAAGCGGUAUCUAACCAGAAAGCCACGGCUAACUACGUGCCAGCAGCCGCGGUAAUAC